AUAUAAAGCACUUAGUACAGUUCCUGACAUGUAAAUAAAUGCUAUAUAAGUUGUUUUAUUAUUAUUGCUAUUAAUGUUUCAAGUAUGGUUUUUGUAUGCUGCAAUUGUUUGAAUGUUUUCCAAUUCAUUCUGUAAUUCUUCCAUUAACAUUCAGAGUCAUAAUAAUUUUACUUUCUUGUCUUAAAAGGCUUAUGACAGUUCUCUUAAAUACAGCUGGUAUAGUGGUGUAAAUGACUAACCCGAGUAAAAGGAGAUUUACUUAAUUUUUAAUGAUAUAGUUGUCAAAUGCAGGACAAGAAUCAUACUGAUAACUGUGAUUUAGUGUCCAUCCUUUCCAUGGCAUUUUUUUCCUCACUGGGACAAACCUCAAAGUGGUGUUAUAUGCAUAUGUAUUUUGUAUUACAUAAUUACUCAUGUAUUUCAGAUUUUGAUAGGCCCAUGAAGAUUCAGGAGCCCUCAAACUGGGCAUAUUUAUAUUUCUGUCAGAUUCCUAGAAACUGCAUCACCAGUUCAAGAGUUUUCCUUAUUCAUUAAAAAAAAAAUAAACUUUCAUGUUCCUCCUGCCCAUAUAACAGGUAUUUCCAGCCUACAACAUCCCCCAAUUCUCUUGUGACUUGAAAUUCUAUCUAUACCACAACCUUCGGAUUGCUAUAAAAUUUUAUGGGGCAUCUCUCUCCUUUAUAUAUAGUGCUUAUGACACCUCUUCCCCCAAAUACUUCUAAUUUUAUUUUUUUUAAAUAGCAAAUCAAGAGGCAUAGGAAGUCCUUUUUGAAUAGAUUUAAAUCUUAUACAUGUUGGUCAUGUAAUCCUAGUUAAGUGAUUUAACUUCUUCAUGCUCUGGCCUAGAGAUUUCAAACAGACUACCUACCCUUGGGCACCAGUGUGGUUCACAUACUAGGACCAUAUCCUGGACUACUUUCAAAUGUAAUUGGGAAAUAUUUAACAAAAUAAAUAAGAAUACACUAAAACACAGAUAAUAUUAACAUGUGGUUUUCUAAAUCUGUAGCACCUAUAAGAAUUUUUACGUAUGGGUUUUAGUUGUUUAUGUUUCUUUUUUGCCCCAUCUCUACUUGAGUUUUUUCAAACUCAAGUGGAGAGCUUAGGCCCUCUCUAAGUAGUAGAGAGCUUAGGCCCUCUCUAAGUAGUAGAGAGCUUAGGCCCUCUCUAAGUAGUAGAGAGCUUAGGCCCUCUCUAAGUAGUAGAGAGCUUAGGCCCUCUCUAAGUAGUAGAGAGCUUAGUCUCUAAGCAACUCUCAAGGUGUAGUUCCCAGAAUGAUAAAAUCACAGAUCCAGUCUUUAUCCCCUAAAUAACAAUCAGUACAGAAGACUCAUAACUUAUUUAGUUUGAAAAAAAUCUGUAUUCCUUUUCCCCUCUGUACAUAUAGAUGAUGAAAUUAACACAAAAAAAUAGCUUAUGAUAGAAUAAAUUUUACUUUUGUUACCAUAAGCUUCUCACUAUUUCAUGAUGCAUUUUGGAAACUCCUUUUUGUGUAGUUAUUUGUAUUUAACAUGCAAAAUGUAUCUGUGAACUAAAUGCUUUCGCUACUUAGAGGUCUUAUUGGAAAGAUUUGGUAUUUUUUGCCCUUUGAACACCUUAAAAAUUACUGUGGUAUUUUUUUUUAUUGAUGUGAUGUUUAGUCUCUGAGGGGUAAAAACCUGCCCUUCCUUCCUCUUUGUUUGUUUUUCUUUCCUUUUUGAUUUUUUUUUCAGGUGUGUGCUUGUUAAAAUAAGUGGUUUUAGUUAGUGAGAUCUCAGGAAAUUAUGGUGGGAGAUUUUUGAGAGCAGAGACAUUCUAAAAUAAAAACUUAGCAUAUUUUACUACUGAGAUAAAAGAAGGAAAAGCAUUAAUUCUCUCUGCUUCUCCCUUUUAUUCAGCUGUAGGAAAAAAGACAAGAAAAAACUGAAUCUGCUUUAGGUUCUUCUGACAAUACCUAGUUGGGUAAACUUAAGUGAGCAAGUCCCCUGCUUUUGAUGGGGAGCACACUUGGCCACAGCAGAAGAAAGGCCCUGAUCAGAAUCUAGGAAGGCCUGGUCCAAACAGCAUCUAGACAGCCUGAGUGAAAAGGAAACAUGGCCAAACAAUUCCUGCAAAAGAUUUGUCACUCUCAUCCUGGCAAGCUGAUUAGAGGUGACAUUCAGGGAGCUGGACAGCCAUCCAGUAAUGAAUUUCAGUGUUCAACUCUCUCUUUCUCAAGUAUCACUGAAAUAAGACAAAGUAACUUCCUUGUUGUCUACUCUUUGAAUCCUAGGAUUUGAUGUUCUGAAAGACAGUUUGUGAAAUAUAAGAAUUUAUAGAAGUAUUAAAUCUCAUAAAUACUAAUGAGGUCAAUUCCAGAGUGCAGGAGAAUUUAAAUAAAAUGUGUAGGAACAUUUACUAUGCCCCAAAGAAUAAUUCUGAACCUAGACAAUGCAUGCUGAUUGGAUUUGUGCUUUAUGUACUUGAAGAAGCAAAGAAUAAAAGCGAAAUUAUUU